rnacentral:rRNA from 1 species
UGGCUUCGGCCCGUAAACCCCUAGUCAUUUGUGAACAAAUUAAUUCACCCAACACGUGGAGUUAUUGAUUGUAACGGAAGAGGAAGGGACGGCUAACUCUGUG